rnacentral:tRNA from 1 species
GCACUUUUAGCUCAAUUGGAUAGAGCUUUUGACUUCGGAUCAAAGGGUUGUGGGUUCGAAUCCCGUGAAGUGCGCCA